rnacentral:rRNA from 2 species
UACUCCUACGGGAGGCAGCAGUGAGGGAUUUUCGGCAAUGGGCGAAAGCCUGACCGAGCGACGCCGCGUGAGCGAAGAAGGCCUUCGGGUCGUAAAGCUCUGUCUAGGGGGACGAGAGAGGACGGUACCCCUGGAGGAAGCCACGGCUAACUACGUGCCAGCAGCCGCGGUAAUA